UACAGAGGGUGCAAGCGUUAAUCGGAAUUACUGGGCGUAAAGCGUGCGUAGACGGUUAUGUAAGUCAGAUGUGAAAGCCCUGGGCUCAACCUGGGAAUUGCAGUGGAUACUGGCAAGCUAGAGUGCGGUAGAGGAUGGUGGAAUUCCCGGUGUAGCGGUGAAAUGCGUAGAGAUCGGGAGGAACACCCGUGGCGAAGGCGGCCAUCUGGACCAGCACUGACGCUGAGGCACGAAAGCGUGGGGAGCAAACAGG
rnacentral:rRNA from 1 species